CAUGUCCUUUUGAUUUAUAAUUUAAGGUCUGAUCUGCCCAAUGAUUUUUUAAAUGGCCGCGAUAUUUUGAUCGUGCGAAGGUAGCAUAAUCAUUAGUUUUUUAAUUGAAAGCUGGUAUGAAGGAUUGGACGAGAAACUUUCUGUCUCUAUUUUAUUAUUUGAAUUUUAUUUUUUAGUUAAAAAGCUUAAAUGUUUUUGUAAGACGAGAAGACCCUAUAGAGUUUAAUAUUUAAUGGUUUUAUUUAAAUUUUAGAAUAAAAUUUUUAAAAUUUUAUUAUUAUUUAGUUGGGGUGACAGAAAAAUUAGAUAAACUUUUUCUUUAUUUUUAUAUUUAUAUAUAGAUUUUUGACUUAAUAGAUUAGUUAUAAGAUUAAAUUACCUUAGGGAUAACAGCGUAAUCUUUCUAAAGAGUUCAUAUCGAAAGAAAGGGUUGCGACCUCGAUGUUGGAUUAAAGUUAAAAUGUGGUGUAGAAGUUACAUAUUUUAGUCUGUUCGACUAUUGAAACUUUACAUGAUCUGAGU
rnacentral:rRNA from 1 species